rnacentral:rRNA from 1 species
AGCGAACGCUGGCGGCAGGCCUAACACAUGCAAGUCGAACGGACCCUUCGGGGUUAGUGGCGGACGGGUGAGUAACACGUGGGAACGUGCCUUUAGGUUCGGAAUAGCUCCUGGAAACGGGUGGUAAUGCCGAAUGUGCCCUUCGGGGGAAAGAUUUAUCGCCUUUAGAGCGGCCCGCGUCUGAUUAGCUAGUUGGUGAGGUAAAGGCUCACCAAGGCGACGAUCAGUAGCUGGUCUGAGAGAAUGACCAGCCACAUUGGGACAGAGACACGGCCCAAACUCCUACGGGAGGCAGCAGUGGGGAAUCUUGCGCAAUGGGCGAAAGCCUGACGCAGCCAUGCCGCGUGGAGGAUGAAGGUCUUAGGAUUGUAAAAUCCUUUCACCGGUGAAGAUAAUGACUGUAGCCGGAGAAGAAGCCCCGGCUAACUUCGUGCCAGCAGCCGCCGUAACAC